CAUAAGACUCCUCGAGAGUCAGAUUCUUUCGAGGAGUGUGAACAAAAACGGCUCCGUGUGACGGCGCGAGUGGCGCCAUUUAUAUGUCAAACUAUAAGUUUCAAGAUUUGAAUUGCUGUAUCAUGCCUGAUUUUGCCCUUACCCUGUAAAUGUAGUUGGAUUGGUUAUUUAUAUCUGUCAAUCAAUGUUGUUUGUACCUGUUACAUUGCUCACUCAGCAAAACUGUUUGGCUCCACCUCUUCCUGGAGUAGGACUGUGUUUCCUCCUUUUCAUUCCACUCUAUCGGAUGGACGUGAAAGAGAGGCUUGGCUCUGAAAGCCCUUCAAAAGUUACCUCUCAGCACCAAUUCUGAGGUUCUUACCCUUGGGACUCACACUUCAUGUUCAGGGCCAACCUGAACAACGUUGAGGAGUCUCAAGCGCCUUCACAUCAGUCCUUUGGCAGCAGAGGAAGACUCUUGUCUUCAGAUAUAGGUCAUUGGACUGAGGCUGAGUUUGCUCCGGCAUUCACAGCCAGAGAAAGAGGGAUCUGGACAAGCUUCAUGGACUUAAACAAUCAAAGACUGUAAUGUAUAUUUUCUUUUACCCCCUUUGUGAACAAUAAACCCAGUUUUUGAGUUAACUACAGUGUUUUGGUCCUUGGGAGUUCCAGUUUCCCUAAAGGAGGGCAAGAAGCAAUCCCCUGGGGAAAGAUGUCACGUCCAUGCCUCUUUCACUAAGAGUUUACAGCCCCAGGCGCGACGGCACACUCCGGGAUUUGUUUACAGACCCGACAGAUGAGGACUCAUUUGAGGGUUUUUCUGAGGGUUUGGAGGAAGAGAUGGCCAGCUCGGAGGAGGAUGACAUGGAAUGGACUCGUGUGAGGGAGGAUUUGGGUGUUGGGGAAACAGGCAAUGAAAGCAUGGGAGGUGAGUGGCGGGUUGCAGGAUCAGACUCAUGGACUGGCUGGAGGGAUGGAGCGGGAUCCACAGCUGGGGAUGCUGUGGGGCGUAGUCAAAGGUGCUUUAGCUCUGAUGAGGAUGAUGAGUUUGGGGCGCCUGGAAUUGGGAUGGCGGCUGACAGCGAUGAUGAGCUUGAACUGGGAUAAAUUGGGGUUUGGGAUCAAUGUCUAAUUGCGUUCGGCAAGGUAAUCUGGACGGACGCUUGGGCUUUUGUUGGGGAACUUCCUGAAGACGGGUGUGAUUCGUUGCUGGAUACCUUGGACCUCCGUCGUCUUUUUGACGGGCAAUACCUACUCACACUGGAUUGACGCUGGACUGACUGACUUCGAUUCUGGAUUAUCCCUUCUGCUGCUUAUCGGUGAGACCUUUGGAUUCCUAGACGGCUACGUUUGGCUAUUGACCUCUGGACCGGAUUGGGACCCUGCUGACUGCCGUUUCCCUGACUGCUGAGCCUGGACCUGGAUAUCGUUGGCUGUUGAACCUUAAAUCGAAUCCUGACUACGACCACGUUUUCCUUCGCUGCAGGGAGGAAUAAACAAGCCUGGUUUAGUCUCCUGCUGUUUCUGAGUAGCAGAGAGGGAUCUGCUACCAGUCUGUUGUUUACAUUCUGACUCCUGUUGAUACUCCUUUGUUUGCAUUGUUUGCCAGGCUGAAGUAAGCACUUUUGAUUUAAUCCGGAUUAUACUUCUGUUUAACCCGGUUUUUCCCUUUGAGUUGUUUAAGCUCAAUCUGAGUUGUUUUUUGUUACCUAUCACACUGAAGUCAAGUGUUUGCCCUGUUUUUUGUCUCCUACGGGCAUUUUUAGUUUUGUAAUCUCAAUAAACUGAGUUUUGCUUUA